CCUCACCUAUAAAAUGGAAGGUUUUUUUUUUUUUUUUUUUUAUCCCUACUCUCCAUAUCCUUCGAUCCUCACAAAAUGUAAGAGAAAGUCAGGGAAGCCCCUUUGCGGAGGGGUUUACCCUGUGAUAAGACCUAUUGGACUCUAAUCGUGGUAUAUGGGAAAGAACAUAAGUUCUGAGUGCAGGAAGCCCUAGGCUCAAAUCCUGGCUCUUCUACUUAUUAAUUGUGGGGAGAUCAGUAAUUCCAGAGCUUUGCUGACCCCUCAUUUCCUCCCGUGUGAAAUGGGGGUGGCUGUUUGCAGACUCACUGUGAGGAGUAAAGGGAUCCUGAGUGGAAGAGUGCCUGCACAUGGCAAGCCUUUUCCAUUCACUGCCCCCCACCUGCUCUCGCCCCGUGAUGUUGGUGCUUUGCCCAGCGCUUACGAGAAUGGAUGAGAUGGAUGUACGAGUGAAUUUUCCCUGGAGAUGAGCAUCGCAGUUUCUUCUCUAAUUUUCAAUUGGGAAAUCACCAUGCCUUAACAAAGUGACAGUUACUGGUGGGCAGGGGCGAAGUAGAAUUUAGAUACUUAGACCUGUGCUCUGGGAUGUCACAAAUGUAGUCAAGUCCUAUCUUUAGUCCCUGAUUGUCCUGAAAAAGAAUAACAGAAAAGCCUAAUUUGUGGCUUAUUCUCAUUCCAGAGAGGAACAGUGGGUUCUUUCUCCAGCUGUCCCUGUUCUUAAGCAGGGAGGAGCCCAGGGACGUAUUUCACAGCUAAGUCAAGAGCUUUUCUCCAAAUUCAGAUUCAAGCCCCGAGCGAAACGAAUCACUGACUAUCUUGCUCAGUUAAGACUAUCAUCUGCUCUCCUAAUAAAGCUUCGCUGCAAAGAAGGACUCAUUUAGCCCUCAACUAUCUAUUUAGAACCUACUAUAUACCAAGUUCUGCUUUGGCAGUUUAGUGGAAUAGAGCAGGCAGAGAGUGGUCACCAAAGCAUGGCGGUGUGGUGGAAAGAGGCAGAGUUCCAGAGCUAUGAAACCCAGGUUCUCCUCCUGGUAUUGAAUUUACUUUCCGUGCAACCUUGGGCUAACCCAUUUGAAUCUGAAGCGUAAUAAAUCCCUACUUCAUCGGAUUGUUCUGAAGCAUGUGGUAUGCUGGCCAGGCAUCCCAGUUUCAAACAGACCCGAGACGGAAUUCCAGCUGGGCCACUGACUAGCAUGUGGCCUUGGGUCUACCCUCCUCGAGGUGGUAGCCACGGAGGGCUUUCUCUGCAAGCCUACAACUGGGCUUUGUUUGACUCGAGAGACCACGGUCUUCGCCUCUUCUAGAAGGCUCUUGCCUCUCCCAACGUUUGCUAUCAG